rnacentral:rRNA from 1 species
UACGUAGGGGGCAAGCGUUGUUCGGAAUUACUGGGCGUAAAGGGCGCGUAGGCGGCGCGGUAAGUCACUUGUGAAAUCUCUGAGCUUAACUCAGAACGGCCAAGUGAUACUGCAGUGCUAGAGUGCAGAAAGGGCAAUCGGAAUUCUUGGUGUAGCGGUGAAAUGCGUAGAUAUCAAGAGGAACACCUGAGGCGAAGGCGGGUUGCUAGGCUGACACUGACGCUGAGUGCGCGAAAGCCAGGGGAGCAAACGGG